rnacentral:tRNA from 1 species
GCCCUCGUGGCGGAAUUGGAAUACGCGGAGGCCUUAGAAGUCUCUUCCCGCAAGGGAUUGCAGGUUCAAAUCCUGCCGAGGGCA